CAGGACAGCAUGACCAUAAGCGUGGCAGGGAAAUAGGUCUGCAGCAGGAAGAAAAAGAUGUGGCGCCGCAGAGUGAAGUUGAUGUAGAGUCGGUUGUACCAGCCUGGACACAGCAAGACCUGUGCUGCUGUAGAAGGCCAGUUUAGUGGUGGUGUGGAACUCCUGGAUGAGGAACUGGGACAGAGAGAUCUUCUCGUCUGUGUUCAGAGAGCGGUUCCCUUCUUUCCAGUACAACAUCAGGUCAUCAUCGGUGUAUGCAUCUGCACACAAACAUCUGAGCUUUACCAGGACAAAAUAUGGCGUCGAGACUUUCUACUUGGACAUCCACUCCUACUGGAACUGCGGGGCCUGAAACAGCAUAAAAGCGGUGUUAUGUAAUGAAAGAAAGAAUGAAAGCAGAGGGGAGACAGAUGUGGCCCAGGUGCUUCCCAAACCCACAGAUUAU